GUGUGGAUGGCAGAACCUUAACCAGACAGAGAAUGUGACAGACGAAACGGACUGGAUUCAGAGCUCGGGAGACGACGGUCUUAACGGGAUUUCGCCUCCGGAUGACCACACCGGAGAUACGAAAGGGAAGUUCCUCUACGUGGAUGGCAAGAACGGCACAACGGGAACAGCAGUGUUAGAGAGUCAGCUGUUGACGCCAGAACAACACAGUGAUUUCUGCUUCUCUUUCUGGUUCUUCAUCGAUGGAGUGCCAGCAGACGAGAUCAGCAUCAGCUCUGUGGUAUC